rnacentral:piRNA from 1 species
UUAGUCGGACACUCUUGUCAGAGUGGUC